rnacentral:lncRNA from 1 species
UUUUUUUAUUGACCAAAAUACAAAAAUACAGAACAUUACUGUAUGAUAAGCUGAACAUUGAGAAUGUUCCAGGGGAUGGCAUAUGCAUUACAGAACAAACAUAACAAAACAAAUAUAAAGUAAACAAUACAAAGUAUACAUUACAGAACAAUCAUUUAAGACAAGUUGAAUAUAUUUAAGGACAGACAGCUUUCAAAAAUACGUGUAGCUUUUUUGUUUACACUUUUAGAUAUGGACACUCGAUGCUCCACAACUUCCAGUCGAUCACGCCUUUGGAAUCGUUUCGUCUGCGGAUUCCAUCGGAGCUGGAGAAAUAAUCCACCGCACAGAUCCGGGUCAGCACAGCAGCGGUCCGCUCCAAGCGCUGAGGCACCGCCUCAAGAACCUCAACCUGCAGAACUUUCCCUCUGUGACGAAGGCCUUCCAACAUUACGACAAGGUAGGAGCAAAAACCCAUUCACACUUCAGUUCUUUGCUGUUCUAACAGUGGAACACACAGAGGAUUAACUGUGGUUCAUGAAGGUCAGAUCGCUGUCCAAAUCUUCUUCUGUGAAUCACCAGAAAAGAAAAGAUCGAUCGACACAGACGACCUGAAGGCCGUCUUCCGGGAGUUCCUGCUGGACGUGAACCCAGCGGUUCUGGAUCAGCUCCUGGCCUGCUGCGGCGCCGACGGAGACGGGCUCAUCAGCUUCACCCAGUUCUCCAACUUCCUCAACUGGAAGGGCUUCAUGCCCCUUCACAGCCAGAAGCCGCGGGGUCGACGGAAAGGUCGGCGAGCCGCAGAGAAAGAGUUUUGUUCUCUAU